GUGUGAGUAACACGUGGGUGAUCUGCCCUGCACUUCGGGAUAAGCUUGGGAAACUGGGUCUAAUACCGGAUAGGAACCAUCUUUAGUGUGGUGGUUGGAAAGUUUUUUCGGUGUAGGAUGAGCUCGCGGCCUAUCAGCUUGUUGGUGGGGUAAUGGCCUACCAAGGCGGCGACGGGUAGCCGGCCUGAGAGGGUGUACGGCCACAUUGGGACUGAGAUACGGCCCAG
rnacentral:rRNA from 1 species